rnacentral:lncRNA from 1 species
AGUAGUUGAAGUCCAUACUACUACAUGGACAUAUUGUACAUUUUUUUGAAAUCAAUGAAAAUGACAGUUUAAAUCAAAGAAAAAAAGUAAUUACUUAAUAAGUUCCUAAUAGUAGUGGUUUUAACCACAAUAUGCGAAUUCAAAAAUUAAUUAAUUAUAACACAUCAGGUAAAAAAGUUCUUUCAAAAAUCAAAAAAUUACACUGAUCCGUCAAUAAUAAACUACUAUAUUAAUAAUUAAUCUAUUACAAUAUCUGUGAGAAUCAACAACGUAGUGAAAUCUUGUCCUUACUUGGAUAUAACUGAUCCAACCAAGGCUCAGUUCACCACUUGGAGCCACCAACUUCAUCAUAAUAACAAUAGACCAAAUUUUAGCUUUUGGCUUUAGAAAAACAUGCUGAUUUGGCCAAUUAGUGAACAAAUUUGCAAGUUAUAGCAUAGCCAAGUGACCUAAAAACAAAGCACUAUGUUAUUAUCAUGUGAGUAGCAGAAGAAAGAAAAACAACUUCAAUAAUCAAAGUUCAGAAUCAAUAUAAGAUUUUGACUUAAAAAAAUUUCAGACUUGCCAUUUUGAGAGAGAGAAUUACAAGUAUCAGUAAACCAAACAAAGUGCUCACGCUAGUUCAUUUCUACAUUUAUACUUACACGGUAAAUAUUUACUAGAUCUAUAACAAAUUAAUCAACAAUUACUUGAAAGAACACUCAAUCAGUACAUAUAAUUUACAAUUUAUUGAUAUUAUAUCAUUCCAAAUAGGCAGUGCAUCAAGAGAGGUAAAGAAAGUACCUUAACAACAGCAAAACUAGCAGUAAAUAGAUGAAAUGCUGACUGAAACUUUAAAGAGGGAGCAACAACCAAAACCAAACAGCAGCAGUAAGAAACUAAUCCAGAAAACAAAGAACCAACCAUUAGACUUCAAAAAUUAGGGCAUUUAGAGAAAAUCAGCCCAGGGUUCCAAUCAAAAAAUCAAUGUUCUUGGCCAAAAAAAAGUUUCAGAAAUUCCUUCUUUGUAUUCUGAAAAUUUUAGGUGCAGAUAUGCUAAUGAUGUUGUGUGUGUG